AUGGCGUGUGACGCCGGUGCUGCGGGAGGGCCCAGAGGCCCCUGGGGGCCCUGGAAUGGGAGGCCCCGCUGACUUCCACAGAAGCUUUAGCAGCGGCGUCCGGGGUCAGGGUCACAGCCAGGGUCGGGGCCUCAGAGCACAUGGAGGCAAGGCUGAGAAGCAGGAGUGGCUCCCCGUCACCAAGCUGGGCCGCCUGGUUAAGGACCUGAAGAUCAAGUCCCUGGAGAAGAGCUGUCUCUUCCCUCUGCCCAUCAAGGAAUUUGAGAUCACUGACUUUUUCCUAGGAACAUCCCUCAAGCAGGAGGUUUUCAAGGUUAUGCCUGUGCAAAAGCAGACCCGUGCUGGCCAGCAGACCAAGUUCAAGGCAUUUGUCACCACUGGGGAUUACAACGGACAUGUCGGUUUGGGUGUCAAGAGCUCUAAGCAGAUAGCCACUGCCAUCCAUGGGGCCAUCAUUCUGGCCAAGCCCUCCAUCAUGGCUGUGUGGCGAGGCUACUGGGGAAACAAAUCAGCAAGCCCCAUACUGUAACUUGCAAGGUGACUGGCCGCUGUGGCUCUGUGCUGAUGUUCCUUAUCCCUGGCCCCAGGGGUACUGGCAUCGUCUCAGCCCCUGUGCCCAACAUGCUACUGAUGAUGGCUGCAACUGACGACUGCUACACCUCUGCCAGGGGCUGCACUGCCACCCUGGGCAACUUUGCCAAGGCCACUUUUGAUGCCAUUUCCAAGACCUACAGUUAUCUGAUUCCUGAUCUCUGGAAAGAGGCAGUGUUCACCAACUCUCCAUAUCAGGAAUUCACUGACCAUCUUGUAAAGACCCACACCAGAGUUUCUGUGCAGAGGACUCAGGCUCCAGCUGUAGCCACGACAUAGUUUUAUAUGAGAAAAAUAAAGUGAAUGAAGC